AAGUCGAGCGGUCGUAGCAAUACGGCAGCGGCAGACGGGAGAGUAACACGUGGGAACGUACCCUUCGGUUCGGAACAACCCAGGGAAACUUGGGCUAAUACCGGAUACGUCCGCAAGGAGAAAGAUUUAUCGCCGGAGGAUCGGCCCGCGUCUGACUAGCUAGUUGGUGGGGUAAUGGCUCACCAAGGCGACGAUCAGUAGCUGGUCUGAGAGGAUGAUCAGCCUCACUGGGACUGAGACACGGCCCAGACUCCUACGGGAGGCAGCAGUGGGGAAUAUUGGACAAUGGGCGCAAGCCUGAUCCAGCCAUGCCGCGUGGGUGAUGAAGGCCCUAGGGUUGUAAAGCCCUUUCGGCGGGGAAGAUAAUGACGGUACCCGCAGAAGAAGCCCCGGCUAACUUCGUGCCAGCAGCCGCGGUAAUACGAAGGGGGCUAGCGUUGCUCGGAAUCACUGGGCGUAAAGCGCACGUGGGCGGCUUCUUAAGUCAGGGGUGAAAUCCUGGAGCUCAACUCCAGAACUGCCCUUGAUACUGGGGAGCUCGAGUCCGGGAGAGGUGAGUGGAACUGCGAGUGU
rnacentral:rRNA from 1 species